CAGCAGUAGCCGCGGUAAAACGAAGGGUGCAAGCGUUACUCGGAAUUACUGGGCGUAAAGCGUGCGUAGGUGGUGGUUUAAGUCCGUUGUGAAAGCCCUGGGCUCAACCUGGGAAUUGCAGUGGAUACUGGGUCACUAGAGUGUGGUAGAGGAUAGUGGAAUUUCCGGUGUAGCAGUGAAAUGCGUAGAGAUCGGAAGGAACAUCUGUGGCGAAGGCGACUAUCUGGGCCAACACUGACACUGAGGCACGAAAGCGUGGGGAACAAACAGGAUUAGAUACCCCCGUAGUCCCUGUCUCUUAUAA
rnacentral:rRNA from 1 species